CCGCCAUUUUAUUUGUUCCAUUUAAUUUCUCCACAACAAAAACCGCAUGAAAACUUGUUUCAACAGGCAUUUACAACAAGAAUGGAUGGUGGUAAUUAUCAUGGGCCUUUCUAUCAAGAAAUAGGUGUGUAAGACAUUCAUUUAAUUGAACCUGGAAAUCAACCACCUCAGCUAAGAGAAAAUAUUUUAACAAUAGGUGUUGUUUUAGAACUUGUGAAAUCGGCUAAUAAACAGAAAUUGAAGUCAUCCAAAGUAGUGUGAAUGGGUGUGUGCAAUUAAGUCAAACUUGAUUGGAUGUCACCCGCACAUUUCAAGAACACGGAUUUGUAGAGCUGUGCAGGCUAAAAAACAGUUUGACAAAAAGAAGUCUAAAAAGAAUACCUUUGGUUUAUAUGUGGCUUAUUAAUAAUAUAAUAAUUGUUUAAUUAUUUCGAUUUUGGACAUGUUUUUAUUGUAUUUUAAUGUGAUCAAAACCAAUAAACAUCAAAAAGGUA